rnacentral:rRNA from 1 species
CGCAUCUGUGCAUGCAGCAUAUCAAUAAGCGGAGGAAAAGAAACUGACAAGGAUUCCCCUAGUAACGGCGAGUGAAGCGGGAAGAGCUCAAAUUUGAAAUCUUAAAGGGUUUCCCUUUACGAAUUGUAGUUUAAAGAAGUGUUUUCUGUUGAGGUUUUGGUAAAAGUUCUUUGGAAUAGGACAUCAUAGAGGGUGAGAAUCCCGUAUUUGACCUUUACUUUCAACUUUGUGAUACACUUUCAAAGAGUCGGAUUGUUUGGGAAUGCAGUCCAAAAUGGGUGGUAAAUUUCAUCUAAAGCUAAAUAUUGGCGAGAGACCGAUAGCGAACAAGUACCGUGAGGGAAAGAUGAAAAGAACUUUGAAAAGAGAGUUAAACAGUACGUGAAAUUGUCAAAAGGGAAAGCGUUUGACACCAGUGUUGUUUUUCUGAAAAUCAAUUAAAGAACUGUUUAUGCUAAGUUGUUUAGACUUUAUCAGCUAACUGUUUAGUUUUGAGCUUUUCUUUAAUGCACUUUUCAGUUAACAAGUCAACAUCAAUUUCUUUUGCUGUAAAAAAGCUUGAGGAAGGUGGCUUGAGAUUCGUCUUAAGUGUUUAUAGCCUCUUGCCUAUGCAGUCGGAGAGAUUGAGGUCUGCAGCGUAGAUCCUUCGGGGCUAAAUGCAUUUGUGCUAAGUUAUAGCAUUUUAUAGACAACUUGUUGACUAUGAUUUGUCUUGUAGCUUACUCGCUUAUGUUAUUUUACCUACGCUUAGGAUGUUGACAGCAGUAUAGACUGU